rnacentral:tRNA from 1 species
GCCGAAGUGGCGGAAUUGGCAGACGCGGGGGACUCAAAAUCCCCUGGGGUUCACCCCCCGUGUGGGUUCGACUCCCACCUUCGGCA